UUUACAAAAAUAAAUCGGUAAAACAUUUCCUUUAAAUCGAUAUAAGUUAAGUUGUCAUAAUUUAAUACUAUUAGAAGUUAUUAUAAAUAUUAACGUCAUUUAACAAACAAAAUGUGAUAUUCCAUAUCAAGGAUUAAUAUAUCGGUAACACUUACUUACAGAGAAACCAUUAAUCUUUUAAUUGAUUGUGUCAUCCAAAUCACAAUAUUAUAUCUUAUAAAACGACAUUUACUGUCUGAAAAUGGAAAAAGCUACAACUUACGUUUAAAUACAAACCAACGGCCGACGGAAAGUCUAACUACAUUGUCAUAACCUCAAUAGCCACGACAGAUGACAAGGUGUACCUAAUCCCUGAAGAGUAUCAAGCAGCUUCACUUCAUAAACAAAUACAAACUUUAAAAUCGUUUGUUACAGUGAGAAACACAUAAAAAAAAGAUAUCAAACAAGAAGUGUAUGGAUAAAAGUAACUGAGAGUAUUUUACAAACAUACUUUGACGAAGCUGAAAAUAUGAUCUUUCAGGACUAAUGUCUUGAAGAAAUAACCCAGGAACAACUGGCUUUUAGUUAUAGAAAGAGCACUGGAAAUCCUGUAGUAAAAAUUUUAGAAAAAUUAAUUGAUGUUCAGCAGAAAAAAGAAAAAUAAAAUAUAAGAAAAUUAACAGAGAAAUUUGUGAUUGAUCAGUUUGAUGGAAAAAAUAUAAAUGCAUGUCAGUGGAUGUAGGUUUUUGAAAAAGAAUGUGCAAGGUUUGAUUUAGGAACAAUUGAAGAAAAGAUUGAAAUUCUUAGAUUUUUUCAAGAAAAAUCAUGCACUGAUUGGUAAACAUCCAUGAUGAUUAAAUUUACCUUACAGUCAGAAUAGUCAGCAUGGAAAAGAAACUUCUUAAAAACAUUUGGUAAUAAAGGAUGGACUACAAGCAACUAUGCUUUAUCUUUCAAAUAUCAAGCAGGAGGCUCUCUGUUAGAAUAUGCAAUAAAAAAGGAAAAACUCUUACUUGAAACAAGAAAAACAAUGGACCAGGGCACUCUUAUAGAUAUUAUUGCUGCCGGCUUACCAGACUUCAUUACAGAUAGAAUUGACAAAGAGAAUAUUACAUACACACAAGACUUAUUUAAUGAUCUGGGAAAGUUGGAACAUUUUGUUACAAAGAAAAGAUCCAUAAAAUUCAAAAAAAAAUAAUACCAAGCCAAUAAAGGAAAAAUGUAAAAUUUGUGAGAAGUAGAACAAAGGAGUGUUGUAUCAUUCAGAAGGUAACUGUUGGUUCAAGACAAAAAUAAAUAGUCAAAAAAAGAAAAAACAAAUAAGUCUUAUAAAUAAUUCAGAAUUGGAAUGUGAACUACAAAGUGAAGUACAAAAAAACAACUAGUGCCGCCAUUAAUUAAAGUAAAAUUAACAUUAAACAGAAACAUUUAAAUAUUUGGUAUAUAUGACUCGGGUUCAAAUGUCUCAUUGAUAAAUUCAAAACUUCUAAGGAUAAAAAAAUAAAGAACUGAGUUAUAAUAACACUACCAACUUAAAAACAAUUAAUGGCGUUAAAAAGGCAAAAGGCAUAAUAACACUUGAUGUUACAAUAUACAAUGUUUAGAAAAAAAAUGUUUUCGUUAUAGACAGUGUAAAUUUUGAUUAUUACUGAUAAUUUUAUUAUAAAAUAAAGGAAUUUUGGUGAAAAUAAACUACACUUGUUGUACCACAGAAUCAUAGACAAUUUAUAUUAGUUGAGCUGUCACAGACUAUAUAUUUACAUCUAGUAAAGUAUUAUAUAUGUAUGUACAUGGACUUAGUAUGGAAAGGCAAAAUUUAAUAAUUAGUUCAACACUCCUGCCAAAUUUGAGCCUUUCAUGUACUAAAUUAAUUACAAACGAAACAAAGUAAACUUACUUAAUUAUAUUAAAGAUUACACAACAUAUCUAUGGAUAACAUGCCAAUUUGGUCUCUCAUAGAUUGGAAUUUAUCUAAAAUAAAAUCAGCAAGUUGAUUGCAUGUUGAAACAUAUUUUAGAUCAAUAACUUUAGCAUAAAACUUUUCUUUUAUAAAAUGAUAUUUAGUGUCUAUAUGUUUACACCUCUUAUGAAAAUUUCCAUUUUUAAUAACGCUUAUUGCAUUUUGACUGUCUAUAUUUAUCACUACUAUUUGUUGCUGAAAUUCACCAAAAUGACAAUAAUUGUUUAAUCCAAAUGGCUUCUUUGGUGGCAGCACAGGCGGCCAUAAAUUCCGCUUCCGUAGUCGAUAGAGCGACAAUGUGUUGCCUUUGACUGCACCAUGUUACAGCAGCUCCACAUUUGAUAAAAAUGUAUCCAGUUGUUGAUCUUCUAGUUGUGAUGUCAUUAGCAUAAUCAGCAUUACUGUAGCCUACUAAUUCAGAAGGUUUUCAGAAACUCUGGCCAUAAUUGAUAGUGUCUUUGAGAUACUUUAGAAUCUUCUUGACAGCUGUCCAGUGAGUUUCAUUGUAGCAAUUCAAAAAUCUACUUACUAAGCUAACAGCAAACAUUAUGUAUGGUCUGCUUACUAUGGCGACAUUCAUCAAAGAACCAACAGCUUCUCUAUAAGUAAGAUUCUUGUCAGGCUGGUGCUCGCUUUUCUCUAGUUUUGAAUGAGGGUUAACUGGAACACUGUUGGGGUUAGCAUUAUUCAUAUUAAAUUAAUUUAGCAACUGUUUGAUAUACUUGGAUUGAUGUAUGAAGAUGUACUUGUGAGAAACUUGAAUAUCCAUUCCAACAAAGUUUCCAGGUGGGCAUAUUGUCAUAUCUAAUAUUGCUUUCAAAUCAUUUGUUACAGAUUGCAGAACCGACUUUGAUUUACAAAAUAGAAGCCCAUCAUCACAUCACAUAAAUACAGAGAUAAUACUUUGUUCCUUUAGUAUUUGCAACAGAUACACAUUGGUCUGCUUCACUAUUUAUGAAACCAAAUUUUUGAAGUACAGAAUAGAAUUUAGUGUUCCAGCACCGUGGUGCUUGUUUAAGACCAUACAGUGACUUUAUCAAUUUACAUACUUUAUUGGGUUCAUGUAUUAGACCUUCAGGGGGAUACAUAUAUAUGUUUUCUUCUAGUUCCCCAUACAGAAAAGCUGUCUUCGUGUCAAGUUGAAGAAUUUCAUAACCAUUUUGAGCAGCUAGAGAUAACAAUAAAUGUAUGAAAUCAUACCUGACAGUGGGUGAGUAUGGUUCCUUAUAGUCAAUACCUUGUGCCUGUGCAUAACCCUUUGCACAAAGCCUGGACUUGAAGCGAGGACCUGUUGGUUGGUCUUUUAUUCUAAAGACCCAUUUACAGCCAAUGAUGUUUGUAUUUUCAGGCAUGCUCACCAAUAUCCAUGUUCCAUUUCUUUCAUGGGCUUCAAGUUCUUCUUCAAUUGAAUUUUUCCAUUUUUCAGUGUUCACACAUCUAAUAGCUUCCCUGUAUGUUUCGGGGACUUGCUCAGGCACUAAGCAUUCAUCAUAGCAAAGGUGUUGUUUGUUGUUGUUAUCAUAGGUUUGUUCUUUAUUUUUGUUUCUAGGUCUCAAUGUUAUGUUGCUUCGGGAAGGAGUAAUCUUGAUUUCUGAUUAUUCCAGAGCAGCAUAGUUCCUCUUCACAGUAGAUUCCAGAAAUACAGCAUCCCUGCUUUUUAUGAUAGUUUUAGUAUUUGGUAAUAUGAACCUGUACCCUUUUGUGUUAUCGCAAUAGCCAAUAAAGAUCAUUUUCUGUGCUUUUGGAUCCCAUUUCUUGCGUUUUUCUUUCGGUAAAUGGACCAUGGCUUCACAUCCAAACACUUUCAUAUUACUUAUAUUUGGUUUAUGUCCUGUCCAAACCUCUUCAGGUGUUUUAAACGAUAAAGAUCUAGUUGGAGAUCUAUUUCUGCUGUAUGUGGCAGUUUUUAUAGCCUCACCCCAGAAAAACUUUGCCAAGCCAUCAUUCAGAAUCAUACACUUUGCUUUCUCUACUAGAGUCCUAUUUAACCUCUCUGCAGCUCCAUUUUGCUCGAGAGUAUACGGAGUUGAUGUUUGAUGGCUUAUUUCAGCAGUUUUUAGGAAAUCAGAGAGUGGUUUGUUGACAUAUUCCAGGCCGUUGUCAGUCCGAAUACAUUUGAGUUUACAUUCAGUUUGAUUUUAAACUUCUGUUUUGAGCUCUUUGAAUUUUGACAACACCUCAGUUUUCUUGUUUAAAAUAUACACAAAUACCUUUUUGGUAUAAUCGUCCAAAAAUGAUAAGAAGUAUUUACCCUCUCCUAGUGACUGUGUUUCCAUAGGGCCACAUAAGUCAGAAUGCAUCAGUUCCAAUGGCUUCGAGGAAUGUGAUCCUUGACUCUUGAAAGGCAUUCUCGUUUGCUUGUCCUCUUUACAUGUUAUACAAGUUAUAUUGUUUACUUGUGUAUCUGACAAUGUGAAUGCUUUAGUGAAACUCUCUUUUAAUUUCUUCAGGUGCCAAAGUUCAGAUGACCCAUCCUUUGGUGCCAUAAAAAUAUAUCAUUCUGUUUAACAUCAGACAUGUAUGCAUAAUCAGUAUUCAUGUUAAGCCGGUACAUGUUGUUAUCUUUUGUUGCUGUUGCUACAAUAACAUUUUGUUUGUUCAGUAUAGUACAGCCUUUAGAAUCAAAUUUAACUUGACCACCCUUUUCUGUAAUUUGAUGUACAGAUAUUAGAUUCACUGCGAGUUGUAGUACAUACAAGACAUUUGUAAAUAAAAUUACAUUUGACUGAUUUUUUUCAUUCAUAAAAACAAAGAAAA